UGCGCAGGCGGGUUAUUAAGUCAGUGGUGAAAUCUCUCGGCUCAACCGAGAAACUGCCAUUGAAACUGAUAAUCUUGAGUAUAGUUGUAGUAGGCGGAAUAUAGCUUGUAGCGGUGAAAUGCUUAGAUAUGCUAUAGAACACCGAUCGCGAAGGCAGCUUACUAAACUAUUACUGACGCUCAUGCACGAAAGCGUGGGGAGCAAACAGGAUUAGAUACCCUGGUAGUC
rnacentral:rRNA from 1 species